AUACAAUUUACUACUCAAGAAGAAUAAAAAAAGCGUAAUUUCACUAAAACCAGGGAUAAAGGGACGCUUAUUGCAGUGUGAGAGCGCUUCAAAAUUAGUGUCUUUUAUAACAUUUUGCAUUGUAGCCAGAUCAGUCAAAAUAAAAAUUGUUGGACAUUUAAACUAAAACACCCAACAUUUAUUAAGAUUAAAAUUAUUAUAUAUAUAUCCGAUUAACACAUGGAGGAACUAUUAAAAUCCUUUUUUGUGAUUUUGUGAUAUUUUAAAACAACCGGUUUUUGAACAUUCAAUAGUUAAGAGAGUUGAGCAUUCCUUCAUCUCUGCUACAAAUUUGGCUUUUAGAGAGAGGCGUCCUGAACAGUUUUCCUGACAUUAUUUCAACACGAAUGCGAUUUGUUAACGUCUAUGCAAAAGAUGACCAAUGACCAGAUGACCGAUGUGAAUCGUCGCACCAAUGUUAGUUCCUAUGCUGUAAUAGCUGAAAUGUAGGAUUUUAAACAAAAUCAUGUUACACAAAUGAAACAGGCGCUUAAAUCUUUUAUAGUCGAGUUUUUGACAAGAAACCUGCGAAAAAAUAAUGUAUUACAUGGUGUAUAACCGUGAUGAAGGGGCCGAAUCAUAUUGUUUAAAUAGAUACACAAUUUAUGGAGGAUCACACACCACUGAUUUAUAAUUAGAGCCGCUUUAUUUUUAAGAAAAGCUCCGUAUCUCGAUAUAUUUUAUACAAGUAAUAAGUUUUGAUUUAUUCCGUCAUAUAAGAACAGUGUUUUAUAAUAAUUCUUCCGGAUAGAGUGGUGUGUACAUGCAGAGGGAGACUAAACUCAUUUAACCAGAUAUUUUGUAUGCAUGUAGCUUUAUAAUUGUAGUAUAUAUAAAUAUAUUGUUAAAUGUACUUCUUUAAGUAUACAAUUUAAGUGUUAAUACUUAUAUUUAACCUAUAUACAUAUGUGUAACAUAGUAUAUA